UGCUGCUUUAGAAAAUAUUGAUUUUUGGAGGCAGAGUUAUCUUGAACCGAUGGUUGUUGAUGUGGUUUUAGUGCAAAGAUCAAGCAAUUGGGAUCCUUUGAAUUGUUCUCCGAAAAGGGCGCUUGUUAGAAACUUGUCAUCAAAAGAGAGGUAUUAUUGGAAUUCAGAGAAUGAUGAGUAUCGGAAUGAGGUGAUGAGCGAAAAGAUUAUUGAAAGAUGGGUUGUCGAGUACGAGAGUAAGAAGUGUAGUAAUAUUGGUGGUGGUGGUGGGGGCUCUGGGAGUAAGAGGUGGAGUUCAACCAGCUCGCACACUUUGUACAAAAAGUCAACAUUGUUGUUGAGAUCUUUGUAUGUAACUGUUAGGCUUUUGCCUGCUUAUAAGCUAUUCAGGGACCUCAUUUCAUCUGCUCAAAUUGGGAUGUAUAAUCUUGGUCAUCGGGUUUCUUCUUUUGUUGAGCCAUUUACACAUACAGAAGAAGCAGAGAUGCAAAGGUUUGUGUUCACCCCGCUGGACACAGCAUGUGGUAGGCUUUGCCUUUCAGUAUUGUAUCGUUCAUCAAUCUCGGAUGUGAGUUCUGAACCAUCAACCCCCAUGUCUCCACAGUUUAUACCAGACUAUGUUGGCAGUCCAAUGGCAGAUCCCCUUAAGACAUUUCCGUCUGGUCCACUGCCUCAAGGUUCCCCAUCUUUUUCUCAUCUUGGGAGGCGUCACAGCUGGAGUUAUGACUUAUAUAAAGCAUCACCACCUUCUGGAAUCCCAUCACCAUCUCCUUCUUAUUCGGAAUCCCAUGCUACAUUUGCUAAGCCGCACUCCUAUCGUCUCCCUCCAACUGGUGGAACUCGUCACCUGCCCGAUGAAACACCUCAAGAACAUGUGAAAAACACAAAUUAUGACGAGUAUUCACCGUCCCCUAACUUUUCUAUGUCUCCAUCUCCAUCACCCCCUACGUACACUCC
rnacentral:lncRNA from 1 species